rnacentral:tRNA from 1 species
GUCCCCAUAGUCUAGUGGCCCAGGACAUCUCCUUUUCACGGAGGAAACGGGGAUUCGAAUUCCCCUGGGGAUA